rnacentral:tRNA from 1 species
GCGGGUGUAGUUCAGUGGCAGAACGUCAGCUUCCCAAGCUGAAUGUCGUCGGUUCGAUCCCGAUCACCCGCUCCA